UCAAACCCUAGCUCGUGUUUACAGCUCCAGACCAACUAGGAUACGGAUUAGGACAUGGCCCUAGGGCCCGAUCGGCGCCGAAUAACUGUCUCGACCUAAUAUUGAGGAUAGGGUUUCAUGGCCCUACCUUUGCGUUUGAUUUUGCAAUGCCCGUAGAGCUAUGCGAUUCUAUAAAUGCUGAAUAUCUGUGAUCGAGAUGGUUUCUUGCUGAGUAGGCUGUGCGAUUUACAAUGCAAUGAUUUUGAGUUGAACAGAGGGGAGCCCAGAAAUAACCAUGUGUGCAUUAAUGAAGUGCGAUACAGUAACUAGCAAUGGCAUGACGAUGCACAUUGCAUGGUUUCUGCACAAAUUUCUGCUUACAUGUUAUUAUAGCCAUUGAAAUUGUGUGCACUAUUUGCUUAUUUUCAAGUUCACACAAGAGGAGCACACUAUUAAUUAUUAUGUUCGGUUAGGGGUGGAUUGAAGGGGAUUGGAGGUAGGGAUGGUAGUGGGUAAGGUACCCAAUGGGCACACCGCACACAAAGCCAUACCCGUACCCACUAGAGAAAAAUGCCUCAUACCCGCUACCCAUCAUGGGUACAAAAUUACGCCAUACCCAUACCCACCAUGUGUAGCGGGUACCCAUACCCACUAACAUUAUAGUAGACAUGAUCAUUUGAAUCGUAAAAGUAAGUACCAAAUACAAAACAUUGAAACCCCAUACCUCAUCAAUAUAGAAAGAUGCUAAAAUAACAUACUAUCUUUUUCACAGGGUCAACAACAUUCAACAUUAAAUGGAAACAUCAUACAAGCCCAUGCACAUAGUUAUUAAGGCGGUAAGGCGAGGUGCGGCGUUCCGCCACCUUCUGGACGCCUAGGCAAAUUAGGCGCGUGGCGAGGCGACGCCUUAUGAACAUAGGCUAGACGAGGAUACACACAAAUCCUAACACUAUAGCGGCACAAAAAUUAGAAGGAUCAAAGAAUACGAACAUUUUUGUUGUCCAAUCUUGAGAUGUACUCUCCACUCCCCCUUUUGCAGUUGUUGUUGCCCAAUGGCGGAGGACGUCGAAAAAUCAAGGUGUUGCUAACACAAUGGCGAAUGAAAAUUCACGACACAAUUUAAAGCAAUUCAUAGCUACAAAAUAAGUGAUAUAUAUUGGAAAAUACCUUAUUAAAGAGUAAUAACGACCACAAUCCAUUUAUAACCAAAUGCCAUAUAUCGAAUAAAAUC
rnacentral:lncRNA from 7 species